rnacentral:rRNA from 1 species
CCUACGGGAGGCAGCAGUGAGGAAUAUUGGACAAUGGGCGCAAGCCUGAUCCAGCCAUGCCGCGUGCAGGAAGACGGUCCUAUGGAUUGUAAACUGCUUUUAUACAGGAAGAAAUACUUUCUCGUGAGAGAGCUUGACGGUACUGUAAGAAUAAGGAUCGGCUAACUCCGUGCCAGCAGCCGCGGUAAUACGGAGGAUCCAAGCGUUAUCCGGAAUCAUUGGGUUUAAAGGGUCCGUAGGCGGUUUAAUAAGUCAGUGGUGAAAUCUGGUCGCUCAACGAUCAAACGGCCAUUGAUACUGUUAGACUUGAAUUAUUGUGAAGUAACUAGAAUAUGUAGUGUAGCGGUGAAAUGCUUAGAUAUUACAUGGAAUACCAAUUGCGAAGGCAGGUUACUAACAAUGGAUUGACGCUGAUGGACGAAAGCGUAGGGGAGCGAACAGGAUUAGAUACCCUGGUAGUCCACGCCGUAAACGAUGGAUACUAGCUGUUGGGCGCAAGUUCAGUGGCUAAGCGAAAGUGANAAGUAUCCCACCUGGGGAGUACGUUCGCAAGAUGAAACUGAAAUGAAUUGACCGG